UACAGAGGGGGCAAGCGUUAUCCGGAUUUAUUGGGUUUAAAGGGUGCGUAGGCGGCUUAUUAAGUCAGGGGUGAAAGACGGUGGCUCAACCAUCGCAGUGCCCUUGAUACUGAUGAGCUUGAAUACACUUGAGGUAGGCGGAAUGUGACAAGUAGCGGUGAAAUGCAUAGAUAUGUCACAGAACACCAAUUGCGAAGGCAGCUUACUAAGGUGCAAUUGACGCUGAGGCACGAAAGCGUGGGGAUCAAACAGG
rnacentral:rRNA from 1 species